UACGUAGGGGGCUAGCGUUGCUCGGAAUCACUGGGCGUAAAGCGCACGUAGGCGGCUUUUUAAGUCAGGGGUGAAAUCCUGGAGCUCAACUCUAGAACUGCCUUUGAUACUGAGAAGCUUGAGUCCGGGAGAGGUGAGUGGAACUGCGAGUGUAGAGGUGAAAUUCGUAGAUAUUCGCAAGAACACCAGUGGCGAAGGCGGCUCACUGGCCCGGUACUGACGCUGAGGUGCGAAAGCGUGGGGAGCAAACAGG
rnacentral:rRNA from 1 species